rnacentral:rRNA from 1 species
AGUGAACGCUGGCGGUAGGCCUAACACAUGCAAGUCGAACGGCAGCACAGUAAGAGCUUGCUCUUACGGGUGGCGAGUGGCGGACGGGUGAGGAAUACAUCGGAAUCUACUUUUUCGUGGGGGAUAACGUAGGGAAACUUACGCUAAUACCGCAUACGACCUACGGGUGAAAGCAGGGGAUCUUCGGACCUUGCGCGAUUGAAUGAGCCGAUGUCGGAUUAGCUAGUUGGCGGGGUAAAGGCCCACCAAGGCGACGAUCCGUAGCUGGUCUGAGAGGAUGAUCAGCCACACUGGAACUGAGACACGGUCCAGACUCCUACGGGAGGCAGCAGUGGGGAAUAUUGGACAAUGGGCGCAAGCCUGAUCCAGCCAUACCGCGUGGGUGAAGAAGGCCUUCGGGUUGUAAAGCCCUUUUUGGGAAAGAAAAGCAGCAGGUUAAUACCCCGCUGUUCUGACGGUACCCAAAGAAUAAGCACCGGCUAACUUCGUG